rnacentral:tRNA from 1 species
AAUGAUGUAGCUCAGUGGUAGAGCACUUGCCUAGCAUGUAAGAGACAGUAUUG